rnacentral:rRNA from 1 species
GUUUGAUCCUGGCUCAGGAUGAACGCUGGCGACGUGCCUAACACAUGCAAGUCGAGCGGCCCUUCGGGGCAGCGGCAGACGAGUGAGUAACGCGUGGGAAUCUACCCCAAACUUGGGAAUACCUGGCUGAAAAGUUGGUUAAUGCCCAAUAGUCUCGCAAGAGUAAAGCUCCGGCGGUUUGGGAGGAGCCUGCGUCCUAUCAGCUUGUUGGUAAGGUAAAGGCUUACCAAGGCUAUGACGGGUAGCUGGACUGAGAGGUUGAACAGCCACGAUGGGACUGAGACACGGCCCAUACACCUACGGGUGGCAGCAGUGAGGAAUCGUGCGCAAUGGGCGAAAGCCUGACGCCGCGACGUCGCGUGAAGGAAGACGCUCUUCGGAGUGUAAACUUCUUUUCUAUGGGAAGAUUAUGACUGUACCAUAGGAAUAAGCCACGGCUAACUUCGUGCCAGCAGCCGCGGUAAUACGAGGGUGGCAAGCGUUAUCCGGAUUUACUGGGCGUAAAGAGCGCGUAGGCGGUUUUGUAAGUCUUGACAUAAAUCUCACCGCUCAACGGUGAACAUUGUUGAGAUACUGCAUAACUUGUGGGUAGCAGGGGUAAGCGGAAUUCCCGGUGUAGGGGUAAAAUCCAUUGAUAUCGGGAGGAACACCAAUGGCGAAGGCAGCUUACUAGGUUACUUCAGACGCUGAGGCGCGAAAGCGUGGGGAGCGAACGGGAUUAGAUACCCCGGUAGUCCACGCCGUAAACAAUGCUGACUAGCUAUAGGGAGUAUCGACCCUUCUUGUAGCGAAGCUAACGCGUUAAGUCAGCCGCCUGGGGAGUACGGUCGCAAGACUAAAACUCAAAGGAAUAGACGGGGGCUCGCACAAGCGGUGGAACAUGAGGUUUAAUUCGACAAUAAGCGAAGAACCUUACCAGGGUUCACCCUAUUAGAACCCUCUAGAAAUAGAGGGGUGCCUUCGGGAGCUAAUAGGCCGGUGGUGCACGGUUGUCGUCAGCUCGUGCCGUGAGGUGUCCCGUUAAGUCGGUCAACGAGCGCAACCCUUGCUCUGUGUUGCUCCGGUGUCACGCCGGAGAUCUCACUGAGGACUGCCUCGCCCUAUGGCGGGGAGGAAGGUGGGGAUGACGUCAAAUCAGCGUGUCCCUUAUGCCCUGGGCAACACUCGUGUUACAAUGGUCAGCAACAGUGGGUCGCGACAGCGCAAGCUGGAGCUAAUCCCUGAAAUCUGGCCUCAGUUCGGAUUGGAGGCUGCAACUCGCCUCCAUGAAGUCGGAAUCGCUAGUAACCGUGGAUCAGAACGCCACGGUGAAUACGUUCUCGAGCCUUGUACUCACCGCCCGUCAAGUGAGCCGAGUCAGCAAUGCCCGAAGUGCCCCAGUCGGGGUACCACGGCAGGGUUGGCGAGGAGCGCUAAGUCGUAACAAGGUAGCCG